rnacentral:rRNA from 1 species
AUUGAACGCUGGCGGCAUGCUUUACACAUGCAAGUCGAACGGCAGCGGGGGCUUCGGCCCGCCGGCGAGUGGCGAACGGGUGAGUAAUGCAUCGGAACGUGCCCAGUCGUGGGGGAUAACACAUCGAAAGAUGUGCUAAUACCGCAUACGUCCUGAGGGAGAAAGCGGGGGAUCUUCGGACCUCGCGCGAUUGGAGCGGCCGAUGUCGGAUUAGCUAGUUGGUGGGGUAAAGCCCACCAAGGCGACGAUCCGUAGCGGGUCUGAGAGGAUGAUCCGCCACACUGGGACUGAGACACGGCCCAGACUCCUACGGGAGGCAGCAGUGGGGAAUUUUGGACAAUGGGGGCAACCCUGAUCCAGCCAUGCCGCGUGAGUGAAGAAGGCCUCGGUUGUAAGACUCUUUCGGUACGGAAGAAAGUACGCCGCCGUCUAACACUAGACGGUGGAGUGACGGUA